rnacentral:rRNA from 1 species
GAACGCUGGCGGCGUGCUUAACACAUGCAAGUCGAACGGAGUUUACAUGUGAGCGGAGGGUGCUUGCAUCUAACAAUCUUUUGUAAACUUAGUGGCGGACGGGUGAGUAACGCGUGGGUAACCUGCCGUAUACAGGGGGACAACAGUUGGAAACGACUGCUAAUACCGCAUAAGCGCACAGGACCGCAUGGUCUGGUGUGAAAAACUCCGGUGGUAUACGAUGGACCCGCGUCUGAUUAGCUAGUUGGUGAGGUAACGGCUCACCAAGGCGACGAUCAGUAGCCGACCUGAGAGGGUGACCGGCCACAUUGGGACUGAGACACGGCCCAAACUCCUACGGGAGGCAGCAGUGGGGAAUAUUGCACAAUGGGCGAAAGCCUGAUGCAGCGACGCCGCGUGAACGAAGAAGUAUUUCGGUAUGUAAAGUUCUAUCAGCAGGGAAGAAAAUGACGGUACCUGACUAAGAAGCACCGGCUAACUACGUG